GAGACAGGGUCUCACCUUGUUGCCCAGGCUGGAGUACACUGGCCAACCUUCAGGUUUCCUCAGGGAAGCUUCCCUGGCUGGGUAAAGCAGCCCCCUCCCCUCCCCCACCUCCAGUUAUCCUCCUUCUUGUCCCACUGUUUGUUUCCUUCACAGCACUUUAACACAAUCUAUAAUUAUCUCAUUUAUUUGUUUAUUGUCUGUCUUUUCCUCUAGAAUGCAAGUUCCCAGAGAGAGAGAGUAGGCAUCAUGCCUGUCUUAUUCAGCACCAUAAUGCUAGCACCUGAGACAGUGCCUGCCACUUAGUAGGUGUUAGACGUGUGAUAAAUAAAAAAGUGGACAAAUUAUCUCAUUGAAGCCCCACAAUAACCUUUGGUGAUGGUAAGCACUAUUAUCCCCACCUUACAGAGGAAGAAACUGAGGCUCAGCCACCUACCCAAGGUCAUGCCACUAGAAAUAAGUACAGCCAAAUUUCUAACGUAGGUCUCUCUGACUCCAAGUUUGAUGGAAAGUGGGGACCAUUCUUUUGUUUGUUUUCCGAGAUGGAGUCUUGCUCUGCUGUCCAGGCUAGAGUGCAGUGGCACAAUCUCGGCUCACUGCAACCUCUGCCUCCCGGGUUCAAAUGAUUCUCCUGCCUCAGCCUCCCAAGUAGCUGGGAUUACAGGUGCGCACCACCGUGCCCAGCUAAUUUUGAUAUUUUUAGUAGAGAUGGGGUUUCCCCAUGUUGGCCAGGCUGGUUUCGAACUCCUGACCUCGUGAUCAGCCCACCUCGGCCUCCCAAAGUGCUGGGAUUACAGGUGUGAGCCACCGCGACCAGCCAGGGACCAUUCUUAACCAGCCUAAACUGCACCUGGUUCCUCUUCCUGUCUGCCUGUGUAUCUCCACUCCCAACCCAGGCAUCCCCAGAGAAACCUGGGGCAGGGAAGGGAGGAACACAGAAUCUGGAAGAAUGUAAAUCUGACCUUUUCUUUUACAGGCUUAAAAUCUGUAAAUGGCUCCUCUCCAACCCCUCAAUCCAAGCACUUUAAGUUGACCAGCAGGUCCUUAGUUCUGGCCCCUGCCUUCUUCUCCAACUUCUCCUGCCCUCCUGAGCCACCUCACCUCCUCCUCCACCUCCAGACCCUGGCACAUACUCCUCCUCAGCCUGCAAGGCUGACCCCUUCCUCAGUAGCCUAUCCCUCAUUUGCCCUUUGAAACUCAGCUCUGGCACCACCCCUUCCAGAAAGCCUCUAGACUUUGGAGAGGACAGCGCCUUUAGGUCUCCUGCCAGAAUUUCCGGCUCAAGGCAGGGCCGAACACAAGAUGUGGUCAUUGUUUACCUGUCUGCCUUUCCCACAGAGACUGUGUGUCAUUCUUGGGGUCCAGUACCCUGUGCCGGUCUGGCACAUGGGAGGGGCUCAGGAAAUGUUUGUAGAAUGAGUUAAUCAACCAGUGACAGGAUUCUGGUACCCAGUCGGCCACCACAUCUCCUCCAACUUCCUUAACUCCAGACAUCUUUUCCUGGGCUAGGCCUUAACAGAAGGAACUCCUCACCCUUCACUGUGGGGUCAAGUCAGGGGUGGAGACAAUGCGGGCCCCUCCCCCGCUGAUUCAGCGCCUCUCCUAAUGAGGUGAGGCCUCAGGUUUAGGAAGGGUUGCCACACCCACUGGUAGGGGGAGGGUCUGUGAUUCUGUAACUGGAGGAUAGGUAGGGGGCUUCGGUUGUAGACUGAGUAGGGAGCUGACCUAAGCCGGUAGAUUCAAGUACUGCCCGAGAGAUCUCUGCCUUUCCGCCCCACACCCCAGUCACCCCGCGCCAGGCUCUCGGCGCGUCAGAUCCCGGCCCUGCGUUCUUCAUCUCCUGCCCCGCCACGCCCCCAACUGCAGAUCCAACUCGGGUCUCUCCGAAAGCAGCAAGGAGCCUCGGGGUGGGCUCUAUGCCCCGUGAUGCUCCGCGUCUGGGAACGGAUGAAGGGGUGCCAGCAACCCCCGCCGUCCCCGCUGUCGAUCCGGGUUUACACGAGGCUCAUCCGGGAUUAGUCCCUGCGGUCGGCUAAUCCCAGCGGCUGGACCGACCCCGGGGUCCGGAGCGAGGCCCACACAGUACCGGCCUAGGGAGCUAGGGCGCGGGUCGAGCAAAAGCGCGCGACGCUGGGCGGGUGUGGGGGUGGGGAGGGGCGGAGGAGGGAGCAACGCCCCGGGAGGCGGGGCCAGGAACCGGCUGAUCCGGUCUCUGUUUUCCGACCUCUCCGGAGCGGGUGUUUACCCGGGAGCCGGACGGAGGAGGCCGGGGCCGGUCGAGCCCGGAAGGGGGGAGACACACCCGCCCGAAACCCCAUGGGCGGGACACAGUCCCCCCUCCCAGAGAAGUCCCCAGUGGAGACGCCCCUUAAGAGACUUUCUCAUGGCCAACACAAGCCCUCCCAACACCCGGAGACAGCCCCGACCCAGGGAAGAAAUGGCUCCAGAGGCCCUACCCUCGGGAGAGAGAGGUAUCCCAGGGCUCCUAGGAGAAAAGACAACUCAGAGAUGCCCAGCCUCAUCCUAAAGUGCUGCAGGGCAGAGAAACCCCCAUAGGAGAGAUGGGGGUAGGGCCAGAAACAUCCCUUCCCAGACGUGUUUCAGAGAUAGCCCCCUUCCCUGGGAAGAGAGAUGGCCCGAAACUGACUUGCCUUAAGUACUCCCAGGAACCCUGGGAGGAAAACAGGCUCCCCAGAGAGCCUGGGUAAUUGGGGGAGACAUGCUCCCGUGGUCCUCAGCGGGAACACAUGUCCCCCGGAGACUCCCAAGGGGAGAGAUAGGGCCUAGAGAGACCCCAGAGGUGAGGGAUGCCCAGAGAACUUCCCCCCACCCCGGAAUGUGAAACAUGCUUCAAGGACCCUAGGAGAGAAAUAUGUCCCCAUAUACCCUCCCCCUACGGAGAGACAUGCCCUGAAGUAGGGGGAUGGGGACCGACUAGGUCCCCUCUGGGAAGACACAGACUGGGUCAGGCUGGGUUUGAGGGGGGCUCUCCUCUGGCCAAAUGUCGCCUAUUGGUACAUAAAACUGUACGCGACACAGGCAUUGGGGAGGGGCUUCACAGACCUAGGACCCACAGGGAUAGUCCCCAGUGCUGUCGCCAACCCCUGCCCACCUUUGGUUUCAUCUCUCCAGUGCCCAGUUGGUGACAGACUCAGUGCCCUGGCCCCAACCAGGGGGCUGGGGGCUCUGUCUUUGCCUGUGGGAAGGGCUUCUCAGCUCUCCCAGCCAUCUGGGCCACCCUCUUUCUUCUGGCUUCUCCAUUGUGCAAAAUGCUCCUCUGCUCUUCUGCUCAGUGCUCAGGGGUCUCUAAGACCAGGGCAAGGUACCCAGGCCACUAGGGGCUUCCAGUGGGAGUCCACUGACCCCAGGAAUGCCGCCUGUCUGGACCACCUUCUCCACCAAGCAAAUGGGCCUCAUACAAUCUUCUUGCCCGAAUCCUGACCUCCAGGACCCAGGACAAUCCUUGAGGCCACUGUUCCACCAGCUGGGCACCCAAUACUACCAACUCCAAGACUAUUGCACCUGCCCCAUUUGUGCAGGGGAAAGGGGCUGUCUCUUUAACAAGCCCCAAGCCCAUCUCCUGGGCCUCCCCAAGGGAAAGGAGCCUUUGGCCAACCCCUAGACCUGGCUGCUGCCACCCCAUCCCAUUCUACCCCUUCCCCUCUGUAGAAGGGCUUCGUAUGCCAGGGCUACCA
rnacentral:lncRNA from 1 species